CCUGUUCAUCAAUGUUGAUCAGCGUUGACCAGUCAAAUUCCUCUUCUUCCUCUUCUCCGCAGGUGCUGCAAUGAGCACAGUGACCGGCCGGCGACCGGACUUCUCGCCGGAGAAGAACUUUGGUCGGAUUUGGCCUCCUUACUCACUUCUCCUCUCUUCCUCUCUCUCCUUGUUCUCUCCUUCGCUUCCCUCGCUGUUGUUCCCCAAAGCUCCAUUUG
rnacentral:lncRNA from 1 species